AUCGAUGAAGAACGCAGCGAAAUGCGAUAAGUAAUGUGAAUUGCAGAAUUCAGUGAAUCAUCGAAUCUUUGAACGCACCUUGCGCUCCUUGGUAUUCCGAGGAGCAUGCCUGUUUGAGUGUCAUUAAAUUCUCAACCUUUCCUACUUUUACUAGUCAGGUCAGGCUUGGAUAUGGGGGUUGCGGGCUUCGCAAGAGGUCGGCUCUCCUUAAAUGCAUUAGCAGAACCUUUGUGGAACAGCUAUUGGUGUGAUAAUUAUCUACGCCAUUGGUUGUGAAGCUUUACGUGGGGCUCAGCUUCUAACGGUCUAUUAAAUUGGACAAUCUUUGACAUUUUGACCUCAAAUCAGGUAGGACUACCCGCUGAACUUAAGCAUAUCAAUAAGCGGAGGAAAAGAAACUAACAAGGAUUCCCCUAGUAACUGCGAGUGAAGCGGGAAAAGCUCAAAUUUAAAAUCUGGCGGUCCUUGUGGCCGUCCGAGUUGUAAUCUAGAGAAGUGCUAUCCGCGCUGGACCGUGUACAAGUCUCCUGGAAUGGAGCGUCAUAGAGGGUGAGAAUCCCGUCUUUGACACGGACUGCCAGGGCUUUGUGAUGCGCUCUCAAAGAGUCGAGUUGUUUGGGAAUGCAGCUCAAAAUGGGUGGUAAAUUCCAUCUAAAGCUAAAUAUUGGCGAGAGACCGAUAGCGAACAAGUACCGUGAGGGAAAGAUGAAAAGAACUUUGGAAAGAGAGUUAAACAGUACGUGAAAUUGUUGAAAGGGAAACGCUUGAAGUCAGUCGCGUUGGCCGGGGAUCAACCUUGCAUUUUUGCUGGGCGUACUUUCCGGUUGACGGGUCAGCAUCAAUUUUGACCGUUGGACAAAGGUCAGGGGAAUGUGGCAUCUUCGGAUGUGUUAUAGCCCUUGGUUGCAUACAACGAUUGGGAUUGAGGAACUCAGCACGCCGCAAGGCCGGGUUUUUAACCACGUACGUGCUUAGGAUGCUGGCAUAAUGGCUUUAAUCGACCCGUCUUGAAACACGG
rnacentral:rRNA from 1 species